AGUCAGCGGGCGGAGCCGCCGCGCUGCCCACGGAUCCCGGGAACCCCUGCUGCUCCGCGCAGAGGCCUGGCCCGGGAGCUGGUUGGAAAUGCAGAGUCUCGGGCCGUCCUGGCCCCGCUGCAGCAGAAGAGCAGAACUCCCUGAGGUGCGUUGCAAUAUUCUCAUUUUUCAGAUGAGGAAGCAGACUGGAGUAAGCAGUGGGAAUUGGGAUCUUUCUCAUUCUCUGCAGGAGACUUACCAUUCCCGUGGCAAAAUAGUAUAUGGGUACUGCGUUGCAUCCGGAUUGAUGUAUUCGGUGACAUUUUUGACCUCUUCACCCUUGAACACCUCACAAGCUUCUGAGAGCUAAUGGGCUUGGACCUGCGCUCCUGCUAUUCCCUCCCCAAAUUGCUCUUCUGCCUGUCUUUCCCAUCAGAGCUAAUGGCAUCAUCAUAUGCCCUGUGUUCAAGAUGGACCCAGGAGUCAUUCGGUGGCCAUCUCUUCUCCGCUACCUCGUAUAACCACUUCAUCGCCAAGUUGUGCCAAUUGUAACCUCCAGAGCAUGUCCAAAUGCCACUCAUUUCUCUGCCUGCAGUGUCAGCCACCACCAUUGUCCUAGUGGUCAUCACCCUUCACACUGCCCGGGCCCCCUUGGUGAGCUUUCCAAUUCCAUGCUUCCCCCUUUCAGG